AUGAACCGACAAUGGAUGUGCGGUGACAGAUACACCUCGGAGUACAUUAAGGGCCUGCAUAAUUUUCUCGAAGUGGCUAAGGCAAACAAGCAAAAUGUUUUUAUGUGUUGUCCAUGCCCUAUAUGUGGGAAUACGAAGUCUUACUCUGACCGGAAAACCCUUCACACCCACCUGCUUUAUAAGGGUUUCAUGCCACACUAUAAUGUUUGGACCAAGCACGGAGAAUUAGGGGUUAUGAUGGAAGACAUCGAAGAAGAAGAGGACGAUGACAACUAUGUGCCCCCUAAAUAUGGUGAUGCUGCAACGGGGAAAGCUAUUGAAGAUCAAGAGGAACCAGACGAUAUGCCCGAUGAUGAUGAUCUCCGCCGGGUCAUCGUUGAUGCAAGGACACAGUGCGAAAGUCAAAAGGAUAAGCUGAAGUUAGAUCGCAUGUUAGAGGAUCACAAAAAGGGGUUGUACCCCAAUUGCGAAGAUGGCAACACAAAGCUCGAUACCGUACUGGAAUUGCUGCAGUGGAAGGCAGAGAAUGCUGUGCCUGACAAAGGAUUUGAGAUGCUACUGAAAAUAUUGAAGAAGCUUCCAAAGGAUAAUGAAUUGCCCGACAGUACGUACGCAACAAAGAAGGUCGUAUGCCCUCUAGGAUUGGAGGUGCUGAAGAUACAUGCAUGCGCUAAUGACUGCAUCCUCUACCGUGGUGCGUACGAGGAUUUGAACGCAUGCCCGGUAUGCGGUGCAUUGCGGUAUAAUAUCAGACGAGAUGACCCUGGUGAUGUUGACGACAAGCCCUCCAGGAAGAGGGUUCCUGCGAAGGUGAUGUGGUAUGCUCCUAUAAUACCACGGUUGAAACGUCUAUUCCGAAAUGAAGAGCAUGCCAAGUUGAUGCGAUGGCACAGAGAGGACCGUAAGAAAGAGGAGAAGUUGAGAGCACCCGCUGACGGGUCGUAG
rnacentral:rRNA from 1 species